AAGACUCUACUUUCAGGUAUAAUUUCUAUGGUUUGUUACUGGAAAAGUUUCUCUAAAUAUGUAGAUCACUGGAAAUAAGCAGAGGCACAGGGCUCUCUCGAAUGAAGCUGGCUUUUGGAAUUACUUGGCUGCAACUGUCAUUUGCUACUUUAAAAUUUUAUUAAAUAUUAUUAUUAUUUUUUUGAGACAGAGUCUCACUCUGU
ensembl:snoRNA U3 Small nucleolar RNA U3